GUAGUCAUAUGCUUGUCUCAAAGAUUAAGCCAUGCAUGUCUAAGUAUAAGCAAUUAUACCGUGAAACUGCGAAUGGCUCAUUAAAUCAGUUAUCGUUUAUUUGAUAGUACCUUACUACUUGGAUAACCGUGGUAAUUCUAGAGCUAAUACAUGCUGAAAACCCCAACUUCGGGAGGGGUGUAUUUAUUAGAUAAAAAACCAAUGCCCUUCGGGGCUUCUUGGUGAUUCAUGAUAACUUUACGGAUCGCAUGGCCUUGCGCCGGCGACGGUUCAUUCAAAUUUCUGCCCUAUCAACUUUCGAUGGUAAGGUAUUGGCUUACCAUGGUUUCAACGGGUAACGGGGAAU
rnacentral:rRNA from 1 species